rnacentral:rRNA from 1 species
GACGAACGCUGGCGGCGUGCUUAACACAUGCAAGUCGAACGGAAAGGCCCUGCUUUUGUGGGGUGCUCGAGUGGCGAACGGGUGAGUAACACGUGAGUAACCUGCCCUUGACUUUGGGAUAACUUCAGGAAACUGGGGCUAAUACCGGAUAGGAGCUCCUGCUGCAUGGUGGGGGUUGGAAAGUUUCGGCGGUUGGGGAUGGACUCGCGGCUUAUCAGCUUGUUGGUGGGGUAGUGGCUUACCAAGGCUUUGACGGGUAGCAGGCCUGAGAGGGUGACCGGCCACAAGGGGACUGAGAUACGGCCCAGACUCCAACGGGGGGCAGCAGUGGGGAAUAUUGCACAAUGGGAGGAAGCCUGAUGCGACAACGCCGCGUGCGAGAUGACGGCCUUCGGGUUGUAAACCGCUUUCGCCUGUGACGAAGCGUGAGUGACGGUAAUGGGUAAAGAAGCACCGGCUAACUACGUG